UGGGGAAUAUUGCACAAUGGGCGCAAGCCUGAUGCAGCGACGCCGCGUGCGGGAUGACGGCCUUCGGGUUGUAAACCGCUUUUGACUGGGAGCAAGCCCUUCGGGGUGAGUGUACCUUUCGAAUAAGCACCGGCUAACUACGUGCCAGCAGCCGCGGUAAUACGUAGGGUGCAAGCGUUAUCCGGAAUUAUUGGGCGUAAAGGGCUCGUAGGCGGUUCGUCGCGUCCGGUGUGAAAGUCCAUCGCUUAACGGUGGAUCCGCGCCGGGUACGGGCGGGCUUGAGUGCGGUAGGGGAGACUGGAAUUCCCGGUGUAACGGUGGAAUGUGUAGAUAUCGGGAAGAACACCAAUGGCGAAGGCAGGUCUCUGGGCCGUCACUGACGCUGAGGAGCGAAAGCGUGGGGAGCGAACAGGAUUAGAUACCCUGGUAGUCCACGCCGUAAACGGUGGAUGCUGGAUGUGGGGACCAUUCCACGGUCUCCGUGUCGGAGCCAACGCGUUAAGCAUCCCGCCUGGGGAGUACGGCCGCAAGGCUAAAACUCAAAGAAAUUGACGGGGGCCCGCACAAGCGGCGGAGCAUGCGGAUUAAUUCGAUGCAACGCGAAGAACCUUACCUGGGCUUGACAUGUUCCCGACAGCCGUAGAGAUACGGUCUCCCUUCGGGGCGGGUUCACAGGUGGUGCAUGGUCGUCGUCAGCUCGUGUCGUGAGAUGUUGGGUUAAGUCCCGCAACGAGCGCAACCCUCGCCCUGUGUUGCCAGCACGUCGUGGUGGGAACUCACGGGGGACCGCCGGGGUCAACUCGGAGGAAGGUGGGGAUGACGUCAGAUCAUCAUGCCCCUUACGUCCAGGGCUUCACGCAUGCUACAAUGGCCGGUACAACAGGAUGCGACACCGCGAGGUGGAGCGGAUCCCUUAAAACCGGUCUCAGUUCGGAUUGGAGUCUGCAACCCGACUCCAUGAAGGCGGAGUCGCUAGUAAUCGCGGAUCAGCAACGCCGCGGUGAAUGCGUUCCC
rnacentral:rRNA from 1 species